CUAAGCUGGCCGAGUGGACCAUCUCGGAGAAGAGGGCUAUCUGUCGUUGCUUGUGUACUAAUUGGCUGUCAAGGGUACGUCAAUGGACACCAGUAGAAUGCGCACAUUUCGCAAAGGUCUGCUAAUCAUUACACUGCUCAACAAAAAUGUGCCACUAAGGCAGAUAGUUAGCUUACUUACUGUGAUUCGUUGUUCAGAUGAUAAUUCAAUGCCUUGGCCAUCAGCAUGGUCACCAUAGGACGCAGCGCCUUACCCUGGCCAUCAAAGUAGUAGCAUGCUAUGGUAUCCAAUUCUGACUGCGAUGUUCCCGACUGCAGCAACUGUAAUGAUUAAUUGAGGAGAAGAUAACCAAAAACUUGAGAUUUGACAUAUAAUAAUUAUUAAAUAUUAAUAAUAAUAAUAAUAACCACAACUCUGAGGUUUGAGCAUGGGUUUUAGAUUAAAAUAGACUAUUUCAAUAUA